AAAGGAAAAGCAGAAGAAACUGGCAUUCAUUGGGUAAAGGAGAUGUUACCAAAGCUAAUUGAGGGAUUGUUCUAGGAAGUCUUAGCUAAAUAUGCAUCCCAUCCUUGCAAGCGAUACUCUCGGGCUGCAUCGGUAGGAUUUGCUGCCUUUAUUAUCCCACGCCCCACUAUUAUGAUAUCACUCCCUCUGUCGUAUACUACAGAAUAUGGGGUAUUGUAUUGCUGUCCAAG
rnacentral:misc_RNA from 1 species